rnacentral:rRNA from 1 species
CAAGGCUUGACGUGAACCGGUAAUACCUGGAAACAGGUGCCCCACUUUGUGGUCGGUUUACAGGUGGUGCAUGGUUGUCGUCAGCUCGUGUCGUGAGAUGUUGGGUUAAGUCCCGCAACGAGCGCAACCCUCGUUCUAUGUUGCCAGCACGUGAUGGUGGGGACUCAUAGGAGACUGCCGGGGUCAACUCGGAGGAAGGUGGGGACGACGUCAAAUCAUCAUGCCCCUUAUGUCUUGGGCUUCACGCAUGCUACAAUGGCCGGUACAAAGGGUUGCGAUACUGUGAGGUGGAGCUAAUCCCAAAAAGCCGGUCUCAGUUCGGAUUGGGGUCUGCAACUCGACCCCAUGAAGUCGGAGUCGCUAGUAAUCGCAGAUCAGCAACGCUGCGGUGAAUACGUUCCC